rfam:Triticum aestivum genome assembly, contig: Triticum_aestivum_CS42_TGACv1_scaffold_112513_2AS
CAACUACUCCCUCUGUCCCAAAUUUCUUGUCUUAGAUAUGUCUAGAUACGGAUGUAUCUAAAAUGUGACUUGAUACAUCUGUAUCUAGACAAAUCUAAGACAAAAUUUUUGGGACAGAGGGAGUACUUU